CCCAGUGGAAGUCUUUACCAUUGCUUAAAGGUAUGCUAUCAGCAGCAGAGUCUUCACUCCAAGUAUGGAUGUGCUAUGACUAUUCAGCUUCUUCCCGAGUGUUAAGGCUGCCCAACAUACUUGAAGGAUAUAGGAGGAAGAGAAUAAAAUUUAACAUGCGCUCCUCGCUUGCUGAGAGGGGUUCUGUCCAAGAAAAGGACUGGCUUUCGAUCCAGUGGCCUCUGGAACUCAUCAGCUGGAACCUUUGAGAUACAGACUUAGUCCUAUUUGUUGAAAGGAAGGUGUUGGUGAAAUCUCACUCUGCAAUCCUGUAAUGGGGAAAAAGAAGCUGGAUUCGGUUGUAGACUGUAGGAUUUGAUGCCCAUCUCUAUUCUAUCCUUUGACAACUGAAUAUGAAUCCAGCCAUUUCUUGACA